GGACUCCCGAUCUAGCGACAAAUGGACUCUCAAUACAGAAAAAAGGAUGAAUAAAAUUAUAAGAGUUUAUGUGCUGAUGCCAGAGGCACUAAGGUAUGAUGUAGCAAUCGAAACCAUUCCUUAUAAUGUUGCUGCCAUACGUCAUCCAAGACAUUGUAGAGUAUACAUCAACACUUAGUCUCUGUUAUUAAGAAAUGUGGAAAUGGAGGAUAAGCACAAACUCAUGAUUCCAUUGUUGACUCAAAGCCAACAGCCCCACUUGUCUCGAGGUCCCAAUGUGCAUAUCCAGGGAAAGCGAAGGGGAUAUUAAUCAACGUGCUGGUCGAGCUGGUCGUACCGGCCCGGGACAUUGUUACCGACUCUAUUCUUUUGACGUCUUUAAUGACGAGUUUGAAAAAUUUUCCUUGCCAGAUAUCGCGCGAAGACCGAUUGACGAUUUAGUUCUACAAAUGAAGUCAAUGGACAUUGAAAAAGUGAUCCACUUUCUGUUUCCGACGCCACCUGAUAUUUAGCAGUUAUAUGCAGCUGAGCGUCGGCUAUUAUUGCUAAAUGCACUGGAACCGCCGCCACGCAGCGUAGGACUCAAACCAUUUACAGAAAGCCAAGAAUGGAUGUCAAAAAUCACUCCACUUGGCAGAGCCAUGGCAGCUUAUCCAUUAGCACCGCGCUUUGCAAAGAUGUUAUUAUUAAGCCAACAAAAUGACCUACGUCAGCUGAGCAUUACUCUGGUGGCUGCCCUAUUAGUACAAGAACUUGUGCUGGAUCAGCCAGCCGAUUCUGUAGCAGGCGAUACUCACAGAAGGUGGCUUGGUCAACGUCUAUCCUGGGCUGGAACGGGACAGUCCCUACUUUUAGGAGACCCCAUGGUACUCCUGCGUGCUGUUGGCGCCGCCGAGUACUCGGGUGAUAUUGAAGCGUUUUGUUCCACGAACGGGAUACGUAGCAAAGCUCUUCGUGAAGUCCGAAAACUGCGGGUCUAGCUGACAAACGAAACGAACUUGAAUUUACCAUCGGGCACUGCAUCGAUUGUGGUUGACCCUCGCAUGGCGCCCCCCGACUGAAUUGCAAGCCAAACUUUUGCGUCAGAUUCUGAUGGCUGGACUUCCCGAUCACGUGGCUAAGCGAAUACCUCCAAAUGAAAUCAAGGAAACCGAAGACUGUAGAAAGUACAAAUACGCUUAUCGCUGCCCAGAAAUGGAAGAUCCUGUCUUCUUGAACCCAUCGAGUAUCUUGCGCUAUUCGCACCCUGAAUGGAUCAUUUAUCAGGACAUUUAUGAACAUGCCAACAAAAUCUAUUUGCGUGGUAUUACGGCCAUCAAACCCGAAUGGCUGCCUAUAUUCAGUCCUACACAGUGCACCUUCUCUGCCCCCUUGGAGCUUCCUGCCCCUGGUUAUGAUUCAGACCAGGGCCGUGUAAUGUGUCACAUGAAUGUUACAUUUGGGAGAAGUGGUUGGCCUCUGCCUGUAAUGGAGCUUGAAUAUCCAGCUGGUAUCGACCGGUUCAAGUUUUUAGCCCAGUUUUUCCUUAAUGGAGAGGUUUGUCGUCCUCUAGCAAAAUACACGGCAGCUCUGCUGUCAACUCCAUCAACAAUGGUCAAGACAUGGGUGAAACUCCAGCCCAAGACACAAGUGUUACUUCAACAACUGACAAUUGGUAAUCUCGAUAGCUUAGAUUCGCUUCUUGCCGCUUGGCAAAAAGAUAAAUUCUAUCUCCUGGGGGCCUAUAAAGCCUGGGUACCUGAAUCACUUCAUGAAGAAAUCAAUACCCUUUGGCCUCCUGUGUAAUUGACUGUAAAAUAUAUUGACCUCUUCAUUGCCAUGAAAAGUUAGCAGGGUUUCCAAUUGAAAAUCAUCUCAUUUUUAUUGAAAACACACCUAAAAUCAACUACGGGAAGAAUAAUCUCUACUCUGCCUUGACGCGCUUUUCUUUUUUCUCCUUGAUUGGAUUUUUCUUGCAUUCAUUAUAAAUAUUACGAAAAAUCAAUACAUUUGCGUCUGAAUGAAA